GUUGGCGGGUUACGCCUGGGUCUUGAAAACCUGAGGUAGGUCCUAGUGACCGUCCGCU
rnacentral:tRNA from 1 species